CGGAGGAUCCAAGCGUUAUCCGGAAUCAUUGGGUUUAAGGGGUCCGUAGGCGGUUUUAUAAGUCAGUGGUGAAAUCUGGUCGCUCAACGAUCAAACGGCCAUUGAUACUGUAAGACUUGAAUUACUUGGAAGUAACUAGAAUAUGUAGUGUAGCGGUGAAAUGCUUAGAGAUUACAUGGAAUACCAAUUGCGAAGGCAGGUUACUACAAGUAUAUUGACGCUGAUGGACGAAAGCGUGGGGAGCGAACAGGAUUAGAUACCCUGGUAGUCCACGCCGUAAACGAUGGAUACUAGCUGUUUGGAGCAAUCUGAGUGGCUAAGCGAAAGUGAUAAGUAUCCCACCUGGGGAGUACGCUCGCAAGAGUG
rnacentral:rRNA from 1 species